rnacentral:rRNA from 1 species
AAUUUUGGACAAUGGGGGCAACCCUGAUCUAGCCAUCCCGCGUGUGCGAUGAAGGCCUUCGGGUAGUAAAGCACUUUUGUCAGGUAAGAAAUGGCUCUGGCUAAUACCUUGCUCUGCUGACGGUACCAGCAGAUUAAGCACCGGCUAACUACGUGCCAGCAGCCGCGGUAAUACGUAGGGUGCAAGCGUUAAUCGGAAUUACUGGGCGUAAAGGGUGCGUCGGCGGUUUGGCAAGAAAGGUGUGAAAUCCCAGAGCUUAACUUUGGAACUGCACUUUUAACUGCCAGGCUAGAGUAUGUCAGAGGGGGGUAGAAUUCCGCGUGUAGCAGUGAAAUGCGUAGAGAUGCGGAGGAAUACCGAUGGCGAAGGCAGCCCCCUGGGAUAAUACUGACGCUCAGGCACGAAAGCGUGGGGAGCAAAC